rnacentral:lncRNA from 1 species
AUAUCUUUUGAAAAGGCUGGGCUCGGAACUGUCCAUCCUAGACAAAUGAAGCAAGCAAAGGCUGAGAACCAUAUCGGAGACGCUGUCGUUCCAAGAUAACAGUCCGUGCUAGUGACAAGCUACAGGUGCCAAUCUAUUUUUGCUGUUCUUCCUCAUGUGACUGGCUCUGUUUGUCACCAGCCCCUAGGAGGAAAAAUGGGAGGGGAAUUUAGCCACCCUUUCCAACUUUCCUGUUCGAUUUCUCUUGUACAUAGACACUUGUUUUCCAGAAAGCAGGAAUUCUUCUUUGCUCACCCACAAAAAAGAUGUUCAUAAGAUGUAGCAGACAGAAACCAUUGCCUGCCUACCGGCUGCUGCCUCCUUGUGACAUGUGCUGUCAGGUUAGAAGAAAUGUAUAGCAAGACUUUCAAGGUAAGCAAGAUAUUUAGGAGAGUGGCUUUACCAGUAUUACCCCUGCAACAGUGAGUUUCCAUGGCUGAGGAGGGAUUUGAAGCCACGU